rnacentral:misc_RNA from 1 species
AACCAUAGAAACCUGCGGAGUACCUGCGGAAGGAUCAUUAUCGAGUUGUAAAACUCCAACCCUGUGAACAUACCUCAGUCGUUGCUUCGGCGGUUUUUGAGCCAGAAAAAGCUCAAAGCCGCCGGAGGUUCCAAACUCUUGUUUUCAUCAGUGUAUCUCUGAGCCUUAAAACAAAAUAAUCAAAACUUUCAGCAACGGAUCU